UAUUAAUUGAACAAAUGAGUGGGAGAACGUUGGUGUUGAUAUUGUCCCUUUGGGCUGUCCUUGCUAUCGUGACCCCUAUCCUUGUCCGCCUGUCUGCUUCUGCCACACCAAAUGGCGAAUUUUUCGUCAUUACACACACUAUAGCUAGUGAGAAAGUGAUGGGCUUGCUGGCAAGAAGGGCGCUUGUUGCACAACCAUCAAAUAAACGCCAUUUUGAGGUUGAAGACAUUAAUUAUUCUUCGCUGCUUUUUCGGUUGUUUUAGACAUAGCUUUUCAUCUAUACAGUAUAUAUAUACACACAUACCAAAUAACUAAA